rnacentral:lncRNA from 1 species
CUAACAGCAGGUGUUAGAGCGCUAACACUGAAUCAGACAGAGAAGUAGAGGGAGAGAAGGAAAGAGAGAAAGAGCGGAAGACAUUUGGAGGUGAGCGAUAGCAAAAGACCACUCUGAAGCAAUUAAGUAAAAGGAGAGGAAAGGUAGAAGCUAAGAGCCUGUGAGAGACGGAGACAGCGAGAGGGAGAGAACAUAGUUGUAUCCAGCACUUUCCUGGCUAGGUUCUGCUGCAUAGAGCAGUGAUGAUCGUCCACUGAUCUCUUCAUCCCAUGCUGGACCUGCCUCUGCACUCCACUCGCUCUGCUCACACUGGUGCCUAGACAAACAGGAUGGAAGGAUUCCUCGUAUCUCUGACACACUAGAGCCCUUGCUGUCACACUCCCAUCCUCCGUAUCGUGCUCACUCAUUAUCAAAGACAUCAGACCUAUUUGCAAUGAUCCAGAGGAUGCAGGUACUGUAAGUUGUCUGAGAUCUCUGCUGUAUACUAUACUCACUGCUUUGUCUUCUUUGUAGUUUCAAUUUGUUUUCCGUUUACUAUUCUUGUGGGUACUUCUGGUUAAACAUGUCCACACACACACACGCACGCACGCACACACAGACACACUAACCUUGUAGGGACACAAAAUUCAGUCCCAUUCAAAAUCCUAUAUUCCCUAAACCCUAACCCAUACCUUAACCCUAACCCAAAAACCUAACCUUAACCCUAAACCUAACCCUAGCUCCUAACAAUAAAACUAACCCUAGCUCCUAACCCUAAAUCUAAUUCUAACCCUAACACUAAUUCUAACCAUAAACCCCCUAGAAAUAGCAUUUGACCUUGUGGGGACUAAGAA